rnacentral:rRNA from 1 species
UACAGAGGGGGCAAGCGUUAUUCGGAAUUAUUGGGCGUAAAGGGCUCGUAGGCGGUUUGUCGCGUCGGGAGUGAAAUCCACUGGCUUAACUGGUGGCUUGCUUUCGAUACGGGCAGACUGGAGGUAUGCAGGGGAGAACGGAAUUCCUGGUGUAGCGGUGAAAUGCGCAGAUAUCAGGAGGAACACCGAUGGCGAAGGCAGGUCUCUGGGCCACUACUGACGCUGAGAAGCGAAAGCAUGGGGAGCGAACAGG